rnacentral:rRNA from 1 species
AGUGAACGCUGGCGGUAGGCCUAACACAUGCAAGUCGAACGGCAGCACAGUAAGAGCUUGCUCUUACGGGUGGCGAGUGGCGGACGGGUGAGGAAUACAUCGGAAUCUACUUUUUCGUGGGGGAUAACGUAGGGAAACUUACGCUAAUACCGCAUACGACCUACGGGUGAAAGCAGGGGAUCUUCGGACCUUGCGCGAUUGAAUGAGCCGAUGUCGGAUUGGCUAGUUGGCGGGGUAAAGGCCCACCAAGGCGACGAUCCGUAGCUGGUCUGAGAGGAUGAUCAGCCACACUGGAACUGAGACACGGUCCAGACUCCUACGGGAGGCAGCAGUGGGGAAUAUUGGACAAUGGGCGCAAGCCUGAUCCAGCCAUACCGCGUGGGUGAAGAAGGCCUUCGGAUUGUAAAGCCCUUUUGUUGGGAAAGAAAAGCAGCAGGUUAAUACCCCGCUGUUCUGACGGUACCCAAAGAAUAAGCACCGGCUAACUUCGU